rnacentral:lncRNA from 1 species
GAAUGAGAGCAAACCAACAGGGCUGUGCGUGGCGCGUAAAGAAGUGUUGAAGAAGAGAGAGACAGAAGAAAAUCACCAUAAAAAGUCAGACACGAGAGCUUAGAAGUCAAUUAAGACAGGGCUUGGAAGGGGCAUUAGGUUUUUGGGGAACCGGUGUUACAUGAAAAAAAAAAACACCUCUGUUUGCAUCUGUAGACAAAGAUCUGUUCAGAAUGGUUGGCUUUGUGAGGUGCUGUGAGACAGAGAUGAAAAAGACAAUCUUCCAAGCCUUAGGAAAAAAAUAUUAACCAACCAUCUCUAGGAAAUUGCAAAAUAGUUUCUACUUUAUCAGGAUUUCCAAUUCCAGGUGAAUAGGAUAAAGAUGAUGGUCUUUGGAGGCAAAAAAAGUGUUACUGGGAAAGAAGUGAUAACCAGACACAUUCACAUCAUUAUGCACCAUCUCUGUUCUGAUAGAGAAGCCAAAAGCACAGGGCCAAUCCUUUGCUUAAGUUAUGAGCAUGGUAUGUAUGACCUAUGUCACACAUGUUAUUUAAAAUGCACAUUUUAGCCUAUUCAAGAGUUCUUUUUCUGAAAAGUAAAUUUUAGACAUUUUUGUAAAGUCUUAGGAAAUUAAGAAAGAGGAUUUAUGAGUUAAUAUAUGUACAGCUCUUAGAAAGUACAUA